rnacentral:rRNA from 1 species
UAUCAGCCUUUCGGGUGCGAUUCUGUGGAGUUUGAGGAGCUUAACACCUUCAUGCUUUGCAUAUUCGUGCUCUUGGGUGUACUUGCCCGUGUGGUUGGUUAACAUCAAUUUUGGUGGUCAUAAAAUGACUGGAGGAAUGUAGCUUCGAUCUCGUAUUGAAGCGUUAUAGCCUUCGGUAGAUGUGAUGAUCGAGAUUGAGGAUUGCAACGGAUACCCUUUGGGGUUACCUGUCUGAUCUCUGAUCGUUGCUCUGGUGUCGAAAGCUUGCUUACGGUUAUCAAAGUCGAUGGUCAAUAGGUUAGAACGGGUUAAAUUCGUUAAGGAUGUUGACGUA